rnacentral:lncRNA from 1 species
GCGCCCCGGGAAGAUGGAGCCGCCGCCGCUCGCGCCGCCGCCGCCCGGGGCUCCCCCGUCCCUGCGGGGCCAGCAGCAGCUCCAGCCACCGGCGCCCGGUGCCCCGGCGCGCGAGGCCCCGGAGCCCCGGGCGAGGACGCCCCGGAGCGUGUAGACCGCGCCCCAGGAGGUGAAGGGGCAGGGCGGGGGCGUGUGGCCGGGGCCGCGGCGGGACGAGGGAAAGUUUCCGCGGGCCGGCGGGGCCGCAGGGCUCCCUGCGCCCACCCUCGGGCCGCCGCCGGCCGCGGCUCCGGGAAGGGCGUCCGGCUCGGCCGCGCGGCCCGGCCGAGCAGCGGGCGCGGGCGGCCCAGGAAGUGUGUCCGGACCGGAGCCCUGCGCCCUGCCCCCACGGCCCCCGCCCGUCCUGGGCCAGACCGCCCCGGCGGCGCGUCGUCGCCGGCCGUCCGGAGUCCGCCGAGCCGGUUCGCGCGGGGCCGGGAGGCUGGGGGCGAGCCCGGGCCGGCGGGGCUGCGGCUUUGUUGUGCCCCGGGCGGCUGCGGCCCCGGGGCGGCCCCCCCGCCACUGUCCCGGGGAACCGGGCUUCUGCCCGAACGCCCGGCCGGGCGCGGUGCCUGCGAGCGGCCCGCACAGCUUCUGGGUCCCGCGUCCGGCCGCCCCGUCGUACGCGGCUGGCCGCGCCGCCGUCCCCCCACGGGCGCUGUCCCCUCAUGGGCCGCGCCGCUGUCCCCCCACGGGCGCCGUACCCCCACGAGCGGUGUUUCCCCGCGGGCCGCGCUCUCCCCCUACGGGCGCUGUACCCCCACGGGCCCUGUCCCCCCACGAGCGGUGUUCUCCCGCGGGCCGCGCUGUUCCCCCACGGGCCGCGCUGUCCCGCCGCGGGCCCUGUCCCCCCACGAGCGGGGUUCCCCCGCGGGCCGCGCUGUACCCCCGCGGGCCCUGUCACCCCACGAGCGGGGUUCCCCCGCGGGCCGCGCUGUCCCCCCACGGGCGCCGUCCUCCGGCGGGCCGCGCCGUCUCCCUGCGGCCGCUGUCCCCCGACGGGCGCCGUCUCCCUGCGGGCCGCGCCGUCCCCCCACGGGCGCCGACCCCCACGGGCGCUGUCUCCCCACGGGCGCUGUUCCCGCAACGGGCCGCAGCGCCCACGGGGAAAUCUCCCCGCCUGGCGUGUCCGAGUUGGCCUCCCGGUCCUUUCGGGGCGCAGCCGGGCCGUGA